UGCAGUUAGGUUUUCCCUACGUACGACGGCGCAAUCCAUCGUCCCGAUCUCGUUCCUGCCUCCUCUCCCCGAUCCCUUCUGCUGCUGCUUGCCACCACGUGCCGUCGCCCACCACCAAGCGCCACCGCGCGUAGAGAGAGGAUGGGAGGCAGAGGGCCCCGAUCGCUUCUGUUGCUGCCGGCGGCGGUCUCCCGUGCGCAGGAGCGGCGCCCGAUGGGGUCGGAGGCAACGGCCUUGCCCAAGGCGGCGCGCUGAUCGGAGUUGGAGGAGGAGCCGCACCCUCGGGUCACCCGUGUGGAUCCAGUGGCGCCGAGGCCACCAUGGUCGAGGGGUCCAGCGGCGACGAGACCGUCGAGGUCCUGCGGUCCAGCGGUGACGAGGGUUCCAGGGGCGUCGGCCAAGGUAGGCUUGGACAUGCCAACUUUCACUCUGUUCCAUAACUACGUAAGGGCGUUUUGUUUUGCUGCAUGACUGCAUUUUACCAAAGCCUGUCUAGUUGAUAUUUUGUUCCUCAAGGUGUGGCUACCCCCUUUUUCAGAUUUGAGGUAGCAUGGGAAUUAUAUGCUACUGGCUGAUCCACUUGGUUAUGUACUUAUGUUAUAAAGCCAAUAGUUGUUACACACAGAGAGAAUGGACGAAGAGAUGGCCGCAGGUAUAGCAGAAUGAAGUAUCUGCUAGACCGCUGGGGAAUUGACAAGUUUCGAGCUGAAGUUAAAAAAAUAUUAUGGAAAGGCUGAAGUCCUCAAAUCUGACAGUUGGGAUCGAUUCCACCAAUAGCAGUGAGUGGUCAGAUUUCUUCGAACUUGAUUAGUACAUUAUUUCCUUUGUUAUCCCUCAGCCAUGUACAAGACUUUUUCUGAAAUGGCUGAUGCUACUUGCUUCUUUCUGAUCCUCGAUUGAACUGAAUGAAAUUGUUCCUUGCAUUGCAUUUUUUUA